GAGGGAGUAAAUAAACUGGACAGUUUAAAGCCUGAAACCACAUUAGAAAUUAAGCAAAAAGAAUUGCAUUUUGGUAGAGCUGGUAAACAAGCAGGAAACCCAUCAUUUAGUUUUGUAUCAGCAGAAAACCAUGUUAAUAUCCAAGAGGACUAACAGCAACAUCGAACGAGAAAACUUUAAGAAAUCUGAUUUUGAUAUCCCAUCAAAUGACUUUAAGGUCAACAUCACUGCUUGCCCCCUUUUAAUGUCACUGUAUUGCAGUUUGUUGUGACCCUCACCAAUGAUGCAGUUUCCUUUAAUUACUAAACUUCCAAUUGGGCAUAAAAUUACUACCAAAUGAAUCAAACAAUUCAAGGUGGCGAAUAUGAUGUCAACUCAAUACUUAUAAUUUAUACAUCAAAUACACGAAAUGAAAGUUCAAGAUUGAGUUAACUUUCUCAUCUUCAACUACUCAUCUAGCAACUAGCAUAUUAGGUUAGAAUCCCCUUAAUGUCUU
rnacentral:misc_RNA from 1 species